rnacentral:tRNA from 1 species
GCCGGGGUGGCGGAAUUGGUAGACGCACGGGACUUAAAAUCCCGGGCCUGAAAGGGCAUGCGGGUUCGACUCCCGCCCUCGGCACCA